rnacentral:rRNA from 1 species
GAUGAACGCUAGCGGCAGGCUUAACACAUGCAAGUCGAGGGGCAGCAUGAGACGGAGAUUCGUCGAAGUCUUGAUGGCGACCGGCGCAAGGGUGCGUAACGCGUGAGCAACUUGCCCGUUUCUGGGGGAAUAACCGGUGGAAACGCCGACUAAUACCCCAUAGUAUGUUUUUAAGGCAUCUUUUAAACAUUAAAGAAUUUCGGAAACGGAUAGGCUCGCGUGACAUUAGCUAGAUGGCGGGGUAACGGCCCACCAUGGCGACGAUGUCUAGGGGUUCUGAGAGGAAGGUCCCCCACACUGGAACUGAGACACGGUCCAGACUCCUACGGGAGGCAGCAGUGAGGAAUAUUGGUCAAUGGUCGGAAGACUGAACCAGCCAAGUAGCGUGAAGGAUGAAGGUUCUAUGGAUUGUAAACUUCUUUUAUACGGGAAUAAAACCACCUACGUGUAGGUGCUUGUAUGUACCGUAUGAAUAAGCAUCGGNUAACUCCGUGCCAGCAGCCG